UACGUAGGAGGCGAGCGUUGUCCGGAGUUACUGGGCGUAAAGGGUGCGCAGGCGGCCGCGCGCGUGGGUGGUGAAAUCUCCCGGCUCAACUGGGAGGGGGCCAUCCAGACGGCGUGGCUUGAGGCUCGGAGGGGGCGUGGAAUUCCGGGUGUAGCGGUGAAAUGCGUAGAUAUCCGGAGGAACACCGGUGGCGAAGGCGGCUUCCUGGACCGACACUGACGCUGAGGCGCGAAAGCUAGGGGAGCAAACGGG
rnacentral:rRNA from 1 species